rnacentral:rRNA from 1 species
UACAGAGGUCUCAAGCGUUGUUCGGAUUCAUUGGGCGUAAAGGGUGCGUAGGCGGCGCGGUAAGUCGGGUGUGAAAUCUUGGAGCUUAACUCCGAAACUGCAUUCGAUACUGCCGUGCUUGAGGACUGGAGAGGAGACUGGAAUUUACGGUGUAGCGGUGAAAUGCGCAGAUAUCAGGAAGAACACCUAUGGCGAAGGCAGCUCUCUGGGACGGUACUGACGCUGAGACGCGAAAGCGUGGGGAGCGAACAGG